rnacentral:rRNA from 1 species
AUUGAACGCUGGCGGCAGGCCUAACACAUGCAAGUCGAGCGGAGCGGCGGACGGGUGAGUAAAGCCUAGGAAUCUGCCUGGCAGUGGGGGAUAACGUCCGGAAACGGGCGCUAAUACCGCAUACUAUCAGAUGAGCCUAGGUCGUGUUAGCCAGUUGGGGGGGUAAAGGCCUACCAAGGCGACGAUCCGGAACUGGUCUGAGAGGAUGAUCAGUCACACGGGAACUGAGACACGGUCCAGACUCCUACGGGAGGCAGCAGUGGGUAAUAUUGGACAGUGGGCGAGAGCAUGAUCCAGCCAUGCCGCGUGUGUGAAGAAGGUCUUCGGAUUGUAAUGCACUCUAAGUUGGGAUGCGUUACCUACAGAAUAAGCACCGGCUAACUUCGUGCCAGCAGCCGCGGUAAUAC